ACAAAAACAUGUUCUUUUGUUUUUAUAAAAGAUUUAACCUGCUCUAUGAUGAAUUUAAAUGGCUGCAGUAUUUUGACUGUACAAAGGUAGCAUAAUCAUUUGUCUUUUAAUUGAAGGCUAGUAUGAAUGGUUGGACGAAAAAUAUACUUUCUUUAUUUUAUAUAAGUAAAUUAAUUUUUUAGUUAAAAAGCUAAGAUUUUUUUAUAGGACGAGAAGACCCUAUAGAACUUUAUUUUCUACAUAUAUAUAUUUUAUAGAUUUUUAAAAUACUAUAUAUUAAUAGUUAAUUUAAUUGGGGUGAUUGAAAAAAUUAUAUAACUUUUUCUAUUUUUAUCAUUUAUUUAUGAUGUUUUUGAUCCUUUAAUAUGGAAAAUAAGAUUAAGUUACCUUAGG
rnacentral:rRNA from 1 species